GGGCACGGCUCAGUGCCUUGCUUUUGGCUGCUACUACCCACGGCUGCUCUGGACGCCUCUCUUCUCAUCUUUCACAUCUGCUUCUCCAGUUUUCCCUUGCUUUGUCCCACUUAUGCAGCAAGGGGCAUACUUAACCGGUGUGUUCAACAGAGCACCUUCCUGCUGAGCUGCGUUUCAGGCAGAACCCACAGUACAGCCCCACGUCCCACUGGGACAAGGUGGCUGCAGGCAAGGAGAGGGCUUGGCUUAUGUUGUGCUCCGUGUGACACAUACUUCAUGAUGGAACUUUUUCUCAGGGCUGAUUGUCCUAUUAUAUCGGGCCCAGAAAAAGCCAAGCAGGUCCUGUCUUGUUUCCUUCAGGAACAGAGCUGAGAACAUCCUCUUUACCACAGACUGUAACAAUCCAGUAAAGCUAUUUGCUGGAUAAGAAAUGUGAAAAUCUUGCAAGAGUAUAUGCAGAAAACAGUCAUGUAGAUACUGUGACUAUGAGCAUAGUGUAAAACAGUGGCAGAACAUACUAAAAACAUCUAGUAAGCGUUUUUUUUUUUUUUUUUUCAACCAGGGGAUUUGUAACAAGAAGUCAAAAAAGGUGUUUAGAACACCAAAUAAUACCAAUAAUUUAGGCAAAGGAGAAAUUUUAACCCAGAGUUUUAAGAUGAUAGCGUGUAUCUAAUAAUUGUGGCCCAAUGUAGUCCUUUUGGGGAGGUAGUGCAGCUUCAUCUCCUGUAUCUGCAGGUCUGGGUCGGCCUGUAAGUGAGGUUUUCUCAGCCCCUCAGUUAGUCCUUAGAAGAGAACGCGUGCUUUGACUCAGUCUGGAUGAACAGAAAACUGUUUUGUUUGAGAUUAGAAUUUGGCUUGUUUUUCUACAACAUGGGAGCAAUUUAACUUUUGAAGAAGAAUGCUAACACAGUAAUGACUGUGCACUGGAUCACAAAAGUGGUAGGUUAGAAAUAGUUCAGACUAGAAAUCAGAGAUUAUCCAUUUAAGUGGUAAAGACAUUGAAGCGAUCCAGUUUGAGUGUGACAUUAUCACGUCGGAUGUGGCACUUCUUUCAGCUUUGUCAGAAAAGCAGACCCUGCACACUCAGUGAGCCGUCUCCCUCCCUUUAGCCAGCAUCUGGAAAACGCUGCUGGCUGUUUGCUGUGGUAGCUGCAAGACUGAUAACUUCUUAAAUCACUCCCUAGCUGCGUUAUUUAAAGCUGUUCCCGUAUGAUGCUUCAGUGACAGUAAGAAGGAGCAACCAGCAGCUGAUGUUAAAGGACAGGAGGAGAUGUUUUUAAGAUAUUAAGUGAAUGCCUUGCUGUGUUAUUUAGUUAUUUUUAUGUUUUGCCCAGAAUAGGUAUCCUGCAGAAAUAAACUUUCCCUCUCAGCACCUCUGAAAUAUGUUCUUAACUCCGUCCCCUCCAAACAUAACCUUUCUCAUAACACGGAAGGAUAAAUGCAUGCAGAUAGUUAGAAAACGAGCACAGUGAUAUUUGGGGUUAAUAAUGUUUUCCUUGGUUUGCUUUACUGGUAUUUAAUCUGACAAGCAGUUAUGCAAAAAAGAUGCUUGAAUGUUGUGGUUUUUCCUUUGAAGAGUAGCUUCCUGUCCAACCACAGGUUUUCAAGCGAACACUGGGCAGAGUAGAUACUGGCUCUUUGUUUUUAAUUCCUCCUUAUCCACACUUAAAGAUUUCUAAGCACCAGGGGAGGGGGAACUGGGGCACAAAGGGGCGGGAAGAGGGAGAGAACAGCAGCAGUUUGUGCUGGAGUGCAGCUGGGGCUGCCAGCAUCGUCAGCCCGACGAGAACUGGGAGAAUGAGCAGUUCCUCUUAAUGCCAUCUUUGUUUUUCCCAAAGCGUUUUAAUGAGCAAAUACUACAGCCUGGCAAAAGAUCAAAUGCCAGGUUGUGUCAACAAGACUUAGCUAAAGUUGCGUGGAUGACUUAAAAAUAAUAUUCAAAUGCAUAGUUUCACUCCACUGUUGUGCUUCUCCCCUGACUUGAUAGCGGGUCAUUUUUAGGCUAACUUCAUUGUAUCCUUAAUGCAUUUCUAAUGCCUAAUGCUUUCUCAGCUUUAUCUUCAACCUUCAAAAAGUUCCAUAUACAAACAUAAAAAAUAAAUUCAAGAAUUUGACAGUGUUAAAUUAUUCAGAGGUAUUAAGCAUGAGGCUCGGGCUGUAUAUUUAUUUGGGAACGGAAUAUUUCAACAGAAUACUUCAAUAUUUCAAGGUAAAAGGCACAUUCAUCUCUGUAUUUUAUAUGCUUUUCCCCUUUUUGAAGAGGCUUGGAUGGUUCUGACGCUUUUGGUUUCCACCCUUAUCUCCGUACAAGCAAGGCAGAAG
rnacentral:lncRNA from 1 species